GUAGUCCACGCUGUAAACGAUGAAUGUUAAAUAUGGGGAGUUUACUUUCUGUAUUACAGCUAACGCGUUAAACAUUCCGCCUGGGGACUACGGUCGCAAGAUUAAAACUCAAAGGAAUUGACGGGGACCCGCACAAGCGGUGGAGCAUGUGGUUUAAUUCGAUGCAACGCGAAAAACCUUACCACUUCUUGACAUGAAAAUCAUACCUAUUCGAAGGGAUAGGGUCGGUUCGGCCGGAUUUUACACAAGUGUUGCAUGGCUGUCGUCAGCUCGUGUCGUGAGAUGUUGGGUUAAGUCCCGCAACGAGCGCAACCCUCAUCCUUAGUUGCCAUCAGGUAAUGCUGAGUACUUUAAGGAAACUGCCAGUGAUAAGCUGGAG
rnacentral:rRNA from 1 species